UACGUAGGGGGCAAGCGUUGUCCGGAAUCAUUGGGCGUAAAGAGCGUGUAGGCGGCCAGAUAAGUCCGCUGUGAAAUCUCGAGGCUCAACUUCGAGCUGUCGGUGGAAACUGUCUGGCUAGAGUCCGGAAGAGGAGAAUGGAAUUCCUGGUGUAGCGGUGAAAUGCGCAGAUAUCAGGAGGAACACCAAUAGCGAAGGCAGCUCGCUGGGACGGUACUGACGCUGAGACGCGAAAGCGUGGGGAGCGAACAGG
rnacentral:rRNA from 1 species